GGUGGCUUAAUGGUAAAGCACCCAACCAACAAUUGGGGGAUCUGGGUUCGAGUCCUGGCC
rnacentral:tRNA from 1 species